GAUGAACGCUGGCGGCGUGCCUAACACAUGCAAGUCGAGCGAUUCUCUUCGGAGAAGAGCGGCGGACGGGUGAGUAACGCGUGGGUAACCUGCCCUGUACACACGGAUAACAUACCGAAAGGUAUGCUAAUACGAGAUGAUAUAUAAAAGUUGCAUGACUUUCAUAUCAAAGCUUUUGCGGUACAGGAUGGACCCGCGUCUGAUUAGCUAGUUGGUAAGGUAACGGCUUACCAAGGCGACGAUAAGUAGCCGACCUGAGAGGGUGAUCGGCCACACUGGAACUGAGACACGGUCCAGACUCCUACGGGAGGCAGCAGUGGGGAAUAUUGCACAAUGGGCGAAAGCCUGAUGCAGCAACGCCGCGUGAGCGAUGAAGGCCUUCGGGUCGUAAAGCUCUGUCCUCAAGGAAGAUAAUGACGGUACUUGAGGAGGAAGCCCCGGCUAACUACGUGCCAGCAGCCGCGGUAACAC
rnacentral:rRNA from 1 species